CCUACGGUGUGCAGCAGUGGGGGAUAUUGCACAAUGGGGGGAACCCUGAUGCAGCGACGCCGCGUGGGUGAAGGAGUGCUUCGGCAUGUAAAGCCCUAUCGGCAGGGAAGAAGCAAGACGGUACCUGACUAAGAAGCCCCGGCUAACUACGUGCACGCAGCCGCGGUACUACGCAGGGGGCGAGCGUUAUCCGGAUCCACUGGGUGUAAAGGGAGGGUAGAGGGCCAUGGAAGCCAGUGGUGAAAGCCCGGGGACCAACCCCGGGACUGCCCUUGGAACUGUGCGGCUAGAGUGCGGGAGGGGCAGGCGGAAUUCCUGGUGUAGCGGUGAAAUGCGUAGAUAUCAGGAGGAACACCGGCGGCGAAGGCGGCCUGCUGGACUGCGACUGACGUUGAGGCUCGAAAGCGUGGGGAGCGAACAGGAUUAGAUACCCCAGUAGUC
rnacentral:rRNA from 1 species